UUUUUCUUUUUUUUUUUUUGAUAUCACCGUUUCCUCGCGUUUGGUUGUGCCCAAAGUUUGGAUCAACUCCUAAAAGUGUCUAGUAUAAUUCUCUUCAUUAUAUUUCUAACUAUUACAAUUUAACUCAACUAAACUUAUAUUCUAAAAAUUUGGGAUCAGCUAUAUGAAUUCUGUUUCUCCACUCUAAACGAUUUUCGGUUAAAUCCUCUGAAAUUUGUAAUGCUUCUAGGUCA
rnacentral:misc_RNA from 1 species